rnacentral:rRNA from 2 species
ACGGAAGGCAGCAGUGGGGGAUAUUGCACAAUGGGGGAAACCCUGAUGCAGCAAUGCCGCGUGAGGGAAGAAGGUCUUCGGAUUGUAAACCUAAGUAGGCAGGGACGAUAAUGACGGUACCUGCAGAGUAAGCUCCGGCUAACUACGUGCCAGCAGCCGCGGUAAUACGUAGGGAGCGAGCGUUGUCCGGAUUUACUGGGUGUAAAGGGUGCGUAGGCGGGACUGCAAGUCAGGCGUGAAAGCCCGGGGCUUAACCUCGGAAGUGCGCUUGAAACUGUGGUUCUUGAGUGAAGUAGAGGCAAGCGGAAUUCCUAGUGUAGCGGUGAAAUGCGUAGAUAUUAGGAGGAACACCAGUGGCGAAGGCGGCUUGCUGGGCUUUAACUGACGCUGAGGCACGAAAGCGUGGGGAGCAAACAGGAUUAGAUACCCUGGUA